ACUGGGAAUGAGACACGGCCCAGAUUCCUACGGGAGGCAGCAGUGGGGAAUUUUGGACAAUGGGCGCAAGCCUGAUCCAGCCAUGCCGCGUGUCUGAAGAAGGCCUUCGGGUUGUAAAGGACUUUUGUCAGGGAAGAAAAGGUUGUGGUUAAUACCCAUGACUGAUGACGGUACCUGAAGAAUAAGCACCGGCUAACUACGUGCCAGCAGCCGCGGUAAUACGUAGGGUGCGAGCGUUAAUCGGAAUUACUGGGCGUAAAGCGGGCGCAGACGGUUACUUAAGUCAGAUGUGAAAUCCCCGGGCUCAACCUGGGAACUGCGUUUGAAACUGGGUGACUAGAGUAUGUCAGAGGGGGGUAGAAUUCCACGUGUAGCAGUGAAAUGCGUAGAGAUGUGGAGGAAUACCGAUGGCGAAGGCAGCCCCCUGGGAUAAUACUGACGUUCAUGCCCGAAAGCGUGGGUAGCAAACAGGAUUAGAUACCCUGGUAGUCCACGCCCUAAACGAUGUCAAUUAGCUGUUGGGCAACUUGAUUGCUUAGUAGCGUAGCUAACGCGUGAAAUUGACCGCCUGGGGAGUACGGUCGCAAGAUUAAAACUCAAAGGAAUUGACGGGGACCCGCACAAGCGGUGGAUGAUGUGGAUUAAUUCGAUGCAACGCGAAGAACCUUACCUGGUCUUGACAUGUACGGAAUCCUCCAGAGACGGAGGAGUGCCUUCGGGAGCCGUAACACAGGUGCUGCAUGGCUGUCGUCAGCUCGUGUCGUGAGAUGUUGGGUUAAGUCCCGCAACGAGCGCAACCCUUGUCAUUAGUUGCCAUCAUUUGGUUGGGCACUCUAAUGAGACUGCCGGUGACAAGCCGGAGGAAGGUGGGGAUGACGUCAAGUCCUCAUGGCCCUUAUGACCAGGGCUUCACACGUCAUACAAUGGUCGGUACAGAGGGUAGCCAAGCCGCGAGGUGGAGCCAAUCCCACAAAACCGAUCGUAGUCCGGAUUGCACUCUGCAACUCGAGUGCAUGAAGUCGGAAUCGCUAGUAAUCGCAGGUCAGCAUACUGCGGUGAAUACGUUCCCGGGUCUUGUACACACCGCCCGUCACACCAUGGGAGUGGGGGAUACCAGAAGUAGGUAGGGUAACCGCAAGGAGCCCGCUUACCA
rnacentral:rRNA from 1 species